GCAGCAAGCAUUUUCAGUAUGUAACGCCGCCUAGCCUCCUAACCUCCCUCUCUUGAUACGAGUGUGCUGUUCUUCGCACUUCAGAGCAAACAAGAAAACUUUAUAUCACCUGCUGUGGAUUUUUUGGAUUGAUGUGCAUUGUCAGCACUUGCUAUUUCGUAGUAGGCCUAAUUUCUAUUCUGCUGCUGCUCUACAAAUAAGGGACAACCCAGUGUGGAAUCUCACCAAAUUAAGGCGGACUGCUCAAACUACUUCAAUACAGGUAUCUACAGCCACAUCUGCUGUGAGAGUAAUGUUCACUGAAUAGAGCAAGUUCGCUGCAACAAGACUGCGGUAAUCUCUACGCAGUGAGGCUAAAUAAGACAAGGAAUAUAUUUGUAGCAGCAAAGUCGCAAUGGACAAUCACCAUUAAUUCCUUCAAUCACCAGCCAGCAAGAGAGAUAUUUAUAUUUCAUAGUUCCUGUUUUCUUGUAGGUGAUUCUUGAAUAUUUUGACCUGCGAAUUCGAUGUUGGUUUUAUGAUCUUUGCAAUGCUUCAACAAUUUGGCGGCUUCUGUUAUUUAUUUUUGGUUUGUAUUAAAACAGCAGUGUAAUUUUAA